rnacentral:rRNA from 1 species
UACGUAGGGUGCAAGCGUUGUCCGGAAUUAUUGGGCGUAAAGAGCUCGUAGGCGGUUUGUUGCGUCGGCUGUGAAAUCCCGAGGCUCAACCUCGGGUCUGCAGUCGAUACGAGCAACUAGAGUGUUGCAGGGGAGACUGGAAUUCCUGGUGUAGCGGUGAAAUGCGCAGAUAUCAGGAGGAACACCGGUGGCGAAGGCGGGUCUCUGGGCAACAACUGACGCUGAGGAGCGAAAGCGUGGGGAGCGAACAGG